AUUGAACGCUGGCGGCAGGCUUAACACAUGCAAGUCGAGCGGAGAUGAGGUGCUUGCACCUUAUCUAGCGGCGGACGGGUGAGUAAUGCUUAGGAAUCUGCCUAUUAGUGGGGGACAACAUUCCGAAAGGAAUGCUAAUACCGCAUACGUCCUACGGGAGAAAGCAGGGGAUCUUCGGACCUUGCGCUAAUAGAUGAGCCUAAGUCGGAUUAGCUAGUUGGUGGGGUAAAGGCCUACCAAGGCGACGAUCUGUAGCGGGUCUGAGAGGAUGAUCCGCCACACUGGGACUGAGACACGGCCCAGACUCCUACGGGAGGCAGCAGUGGGGAAUAUUGGACAAUGGGGGGAACCCUGAUCCAGCCAUGCCGCGUGUGUGAAGAAGGCCUUAUGGUUGUAAAGCACUUUAAGCGAGGAGGAGGCUACUGAGACUAAUACUCUUGGAUAGAGGACGUUACUCGCAGAAUAAGCACCGGCUAACUCUGUGCCAGCAGCCGCGGUAAGAC
rnacentral:rRNA from 1 species